CUCUUAUCUAGAGUGGUCGAGGGACUGGCCCUAUGACACCCAGCAACCGGCAGCAAUGCAAAUGGUGCUAAAUCCAGCAGAAUUCACGUUCUGAAAGAUAAGAG
rnacentral:ncRNA from 2 species